rnacentral:rRNA from 1 species
GAUGAACGCUGGCGGCGUGCCUAAUACAUGCAAGUCGAGCGAACGGACGAGAAGCUUGCUUCUCUGAUGUUAGCGGCGGACGGGUGAGUAACACGUGGAUAACCUACCUAUAAGACUGGGAUAACUUCGGGAAACCGGAGCUAAUACCGGAUGAUAUUUUGAACCGCAUGGUUCAAAAGUGAAAGACGGUCUUGCUGUCACUUAUAGAUGGAUCCGCGCUGCAUUAGCUAGUUGGUAAGGUAACGGCUUACCAAGGCAACGAUGCAUAGCCGACCUGAGAGGGUGAUCGGCCACACUGGAACUGAGAAACGGUCCAGAAUCCUAAGGGAGGCAGCAGUAGGGAAUCUUCCGCAAUGGGCGAAAGCCUGACGGAGCAAAGCCGCGUGAGUGAUGAAGGUCUUCGGAUCGUAAAACUCUGUUAUUAGGGAAGAACAUAUGUGUAAGUAACCGUGCACCUCUUGACGGUACCUAAUCAAAAAGCCCCGGCUAACUACGUG